AAAACGGCCCUUCUCAGGGCCACUAAUUUAAAAAUCAUUAAUCUU
rnacentral:ncRNA from 1 species